AAGAAAUAACUCAUUCUCACUUCACUAGUAUCAGUUAGGGUUAGGGUUUUGGCGAUUCUGAGCCUCACAGAGGCAUGCCUCCUCAAUCACCAGGUUUACUUCCUGCAAGGAAAUAACUCUUUGGAAUGAGUAACCUCGGAAAAUUAUAAAUAUAAGAAUGAGUAAUCAAUCAAACAUAAGUGGUGGGUUGAGGAAGGAUAGAUGUGUUUGGACUGCACAAAUGGAUGAUAUUUUUGCAGAUGCGUAUAAUCAAUUUGUGAAAAGGAAUAUGAUUGAUGGCACAUUUACAACAAAAGCUUAUAUUGAGAUUGUUCACGAAUUGAAACAAAGACUAGGUAUCGAUAUCAACAAAGAUAAAGUGAAGAAUCGAUUGAAAACAAUCAAGAAAAUAUUUAACGAGUGUUUUGACUUAUUCAAAACUGGUUUGAGUGGGUUUGCUUGGAGUGAAGUAACAAAAAUGUGGAAUGCUGAACUUGAAGUUUGGGCUUCUUUAAUUGAGCAGCUGAGAAAUGGAAGACUACUCCAAUUUCCAAUUAUGUUGUAUUUAUUUGCCAAGGAUAGGGCAACUGGGUCUAAUGCAGCAACUGCUAAUGAGAGGAUUAAUGAUUGGGCAACAAAAGGAAAACUGAAGAGUAAUGAAUGGGAGUCAAGUCCUAAUGAUGAUCUGAUAGAGACCAUUGAUGGUAUUGAUCACAUGCUGUCACGGAAUGAAGAAGGAUAAAUAAUAAGCUGACAAUGAAACGAACGGUUAGUGAAGUGGAAAAAGUGAGUGAACAAAAUACUGAAGCUUCAACUUCAAAAAUCAUCCCAACCACCGCUAAAGAAGAGAUGGGGCCCGACACGAUGCAAGAAUGUUGUAAACGCGACAACCUUAUUACCAUUAAGGGUUAAUAAGUAUGGACAACCGAUUGGCCAUGGAAGUGGUACAUAUACUAAUUAUUUGGGAACACUUGCCUGGAAUGGUAAAUUAGCUCCUUUGUGCUACAAAACUUGGUGGGAGAUGCCUAAACGGCUUAAAGAGGAUAUGUGGAACAUUGUAAAGGAAAGUAUGAUGUGGGAAUCAUGUCAAAACAGUGGACAUUAUCCUCCAUCGGAAAAAAAUGGAGGGGGUACAAGUGUGAAUUAAAAAGUGAAUGCUACUCGGUUAGAGAUACAGAUGUAGAAAGAUUGGCAAACCCACCACCUGAUGUUGAAAAGGAGCAUUGGGAAUUUUGGUUAGGCAUUGGGGUACGCCUAUGGCGUAGGAGGUCAGCGAAAAAAACAAAGAACGUCGUGGGAAGCAGACAAUGAUGCAUACUACAGCGACAAAAAGCUUUGCGCAUGUUUCUGCCGAGAUUGAGGAAAACGAAGGUAUUCAACUUUCCCGUGCAAAUUUAUUCAUUCGCACACAUAUAAAUAAAGAUGGCAAUGCUACUGAUGCUGCUGCUUCGGAGAUGAUUGGGGUCAUCAAUUUUUAAAUCAUCGGCCCGUGUGGAGGCAUUUUAAUUUCAUUGUUCAGCGGCCCGUGUGGAGGAAAGCAUAAAAGAACUUCAAAAAAGUUACUUUGACUCGCCUAUUGGCAGUUCCAAUGAUUUGUUCUCCGUUGUGAGGGGAGAAGAGAGAACUGGUCGUGUGCGGAUGCUUGGCUUCGGGCCUACACCAAGCGAUGUUUGGGGGUCCUCUCCUAGUAAAGCUGAACUGAUUAAUAAUGCCAAAAAAUCUGAUGAGGAGGUACGUGCUGCACGUGUAGAGUUGCAGGAGACCAUUUCAAAAAUGCAAGCCGACUAUGACAGGAAGUUGGAAAAUUUACCAUCCAACUAUGACGACAAGUUGGAAAAUUUACAACAAUAGGUGGCUAUGCUAAUGCAGAUGCAACAACAAAAUUGUAGUGGACAGGGUUCUGAUUCUUUAAAUGCUCUUCCUAGAGUAUCUCCAAAUUCAUUUUCUAGUCGUGAUGCCAAUUCAGUUAAAGGGUAAUUCAAAUCAAAUGGGCAAGAAGACUUGUUGAAGUUGAAGCUGAAGAUGGGGUUGUGGCUAUGCUUUUUGAAUUUCCUUCGCCUUGGAUGGGUUCUUUUUGAAAAACUUGUACUACAUUUGCCAAAAAUUCUUAAUUCUUUUUGUAUGACAUUUAUCUAGACAAUUUGGAUCGUAUUUUCAUAUUGGCAGGUUAACUUGUGGUUGUAUUAAUAUAUAUUUUCGCUUUUUGGUUGACA